CUUUCUAUUUAAAUAAAAAAACAAAACAAAAAAUUAAUUGCAAUCAUAGCCCCAAUUUUUAAAAAAGUUCAAAAGAGUCCCAAAUAAAAAAAUAAAAAAGUGAUUGUGGUAGUGGUGGAGGUGGUGGAAAACCCCAUAACACCACAAAUUAUAAGCACCGUUUCUUUACUUUUCUAAACACUAAACCUUUACAGAAACAUAGCAAUGACAGUAUCCUUAUCUAAGCACCGUUUCUUUACUUUUCCAUCCAAGCUCUCGAAUUUCUCUCCCAAUUUCAACACUACUUUCUCUUCCAUUAUCGCUAAGCGCCAUUUCAAUCUAUUUGCUUUAUACCUAUCUUGUAAUUCCCAUAAUUUUCGCUAUGGAAAUAGGAUUUGUGGAGUAUCCAACGCGAAUAUCUCUGCCGUGGCAACCAAUUUUGCUGAAACAACCACUAGUUCAAAUGAAGAAGUAAAAUAUGGUGAAGCAUGGAAUGGAAAAAUUGUUCUACCCACUAAUGAAUCGUCCGUGGGACUUCUCAGGAUUCGCCACACGGUAAUACCAAAGGAGUAUCCAUUGAGGGCUUGUGUUGUACUGAUGCAAAUUUUGCUUCAAAUUUCAUGGGUAUUGUCACAUUUUCUCAUUUUCUUUCUUGAUCUAUAUUUAUCAAUUUGCUUGAAAUAAUAGUUACUUCAAAACUGGGAAUCUGUAGUGUAUUAGGCUUCAGAGAUUCAUAAUUGGCUAUAAAUUGUGGUGGAGGAGGUGGUGGAAGAAAAAUAGCUUGGCCAGGGCAACUAACGAAAAUUGA
rnacentral:lncRNA from 1 species